CUCGAUAAUGUACGUUCCUUUUUAAAUGUAGAUGUUACUGAUAGCUUCAAUUUUCCGAUGUUCAUGUCUGAUUAUAUCACCUUUUAUUGGUACUUUUGUUCUAGAUAUAAUAUUCUCGAUUAUUGAUAAUCUCGUAUCGUUUGAUUCAACUUCACGCUUACCAGACUAAAGAAAUUUCUUUUCUUUCCUUUUUCUAGCUAUUACAUUAAAAAAUAAUGAGCAGAAUUUUUUUCCACGACAUAAUACUUUAAAAAAUUUAUUUGUAGUAUCAAUUCUUUAAAAAAAACGGAAUCCAGGAAUUUCGCUAAAUUGCAAUAAUAGAAUAUCGCAGUAAUUGCAGGAAUGAUUAUUAUAAUACCGUAAAACUGAUUCGCCGAUAAUUUAUUCUUUUAUAUACAGGGUGUUUCAGAAAUAGAUGGCCAAACUUUAAGAUUAUAUUCUACUCACUGUAAGAAUGAAAAAAAGUCACAUCAACAUAGGUACUUCUGGGAAUUGGUAGCCAGGCAGCCAGCCACCUGGUUCACGGUGUGUGACACGUGAGUCCCGCGAAAAAGGCGGGACCGCGUUUCAUCCGACGUACCAUCUGUAUUACUCGACGUCGUACUUUCUUCCCCCGCGCGGCUGGGGACGAUACAAUAGCGUCCGUGUCCCACCGCGAACGUGACAGACGACAGAUUGGCCGGGAUACUUACGUCGAUAAGGAAACGACGAGACCGGAGAAAACGUUUCGCAAAUGCGCGCUAUUCCGCUGCAGAAGCUCCCAAGAACUGUAGAAGAAGCUGUCGGGGGUUCUUUGCCUGUGUUGGCAAACAGGGACACGCGUAUCCUCUUGUUUUCUAGUCGUAACGUUUCACACCGCGUGUCAUCGCGCGCGUAAAUGACACGUCAUUUGCAGUUCGUUAUCACCGGCGGAAGUCGCAAGCAGAGGGUGUAAGCGGUACGAUCAAUGUGUUUUCCGUGUCUGUUUCUCUCUGUAGCUUCUUCGUAAUUGUCGAGGGAAGUCUUAGGCGUCACUGUACACUCUACCGAGUAUCUACGGUUUUCCGGUAAAUGGAUUGUGCGCUUAAUGAUGCUCUCCUGCGCCGAAGGAUCGACAAGAUCCUUACCCUUACGGAUCACGUUGAGAAAUACGGGAGAAUUGGCAGUCUCUCUCGCGCGAGACAAGUGCUCGGCCAGAAAAUACAGCGGCCAAUGGCGCGUUAAUCAAUUACGCGGUAACGUUAAUAAAUCCCGCGCAACAUGAUUACAACAAUAACGAGCGUUUUGAAGAAAAUCCCGGGGGAAAUUCAUUAUAAAAAUCUCCCCCCGCCGUAUUCACAAGAUGCCAGCCGGCCAUUAAUUACCGACGUCCCAUUAACACAUAUUUCAGCCGCGGAGCCGCCGCUGGCGACCACAAUAUCCCGCUUUUUGUGUCACUCUCCUUCUCACUCUCUGCUCCUCCCAUCUCUCGCGGUAAUGCGGGAAACAUAGGGGACGCGAAUGGCCGAGCCGGCAUGUCUGGCUCGUGAACGUUCCUCGAAUUUCCGAGGAAAGACGGGAUAUACACGCGACAGCUCCUACUGGCUGGGACUGUGUCGAGCGGAGGCGAUUCUCGGCCCGAUGGAACGACGGCACAAAAGCUCUGUAAUGAGUUCUUUCCGCCGCCUCCGUGCUCUCGCUACGCGAAGAGAAAAGCAGAGAGAUAGAGAAAAAGGCUCCUCCGCUCGUCGUUUCCGCGCGGCUGAGCGCCAGGGUAAGCCGCGUCGGGGCGGAAACGCGACGCGGAGCACUCGCUGGAUAUGGAGAAUAGCGGGAGAAACGCGAAUACGAGAGAGGUUCUGUUUCUACUUAUUCGUCACUUUCGUCGACCCAUCGGGGGUGGCUUGUUCGUUGUAUCCCGGCGAGGGGUGGCCGGGAUUGCAACCGCCGCCACCCGCUAUCGCGCACGAGACAGCGCGUCGUGCACCGCGUGUCGACGGAGCGUUCGAUUACGUCGUCGCCGCCGUCGUCGUCCUCGUCGACGCGAGAAUCAGGCGUCUAUUUAUUUUUAAUCGAGGCGGAGCGGGAACGGGAAAGAGAGAGAGAGAGAGAGGAAGCGUGGGAGAGUGCGCGUCGCUCUCGCGAUUAACGCGUCCCAGAUUCGCCGACCUGGAGAAUGAAUCGUGAGCGAGGUGAGCUCCAAUCGAAACGAGGGGUAGAACGACGAGUCGAUGGUGUCUUCCGAUAGGCAGAAGGAGCAGUUGUGUAAUUCCGAAUCUCUCAUGUUUAAUCUUGGGUAUUAACAUAAUGGUGUUCCGUUAUUUGAACUGGUUAAUCGAGAUUGAUCUCAGGAUAAUAGUACCGCUGAAAUCUAAAUGCGAUACGCGAUGGAUGAGCGGAACGCAAUUCUUCGGUGUAAUUGGAAAUUACCAGUUCCUAAUAAUCCUAAUAAUUGCGAUAUCCCUAUUGUUAAUCACAGCGGGUGCUUAUCGCCGCAAAUGCGUAAUGCGUAAUCAACGCCCGUGUCCGUCCUAGAGACGGUUUAAACAUUUAUGCGUUUAGCGCGUCAUUUGCAUAAUAAAUGCGAAUUAGCCGUUCGCGAUAAAUCGGCACGUGCGCUCCGAAGAAUAACACGUCCCAUGAACGGGCCUGAUCGAUUAUUGAAUGCCUGACUCGAGCCGGGACACGAACGAUGAUCGAUAGAACAUCGCGUUAUGUGUUAUUAAAAUACUUUGGCGACGGCCGUGCAGCGAUUUAUCUUAGCCAUCGCUUUUCAGAGGGGACACCGGAUAAAAAACGUCUAUAGCGUUCCUCUCUUGUGUCGCUUGCGCGAAAGUCUCCGGUAUCGUACGGGUCACCGGUAUAUAGGGCGCGUGUCACCCGUUAUAUAGAGUUCGUCGACGCGCGCGCGAGCUCGCAGGACGUAGCGAUGACGUCGUUAGCGGGAAGGGGAUUGAACUCCCCCUGCAGUUCGAAGUGAUUCGAAGGUGAAACGAGCAGCGAAACAUUUUCAUUUCCCCGCAGGCUUCAGGACGUCGCGCCGUCGGUGGUCUCGAGUGUUUGCGUUCUCUCUCUUUGUUUCCCUUCGUCUCUCUCUCUCUCUCUCUCUCUCUUUCUCUCUCUUGUUAGUCCAAUUAAAUCCGAGGUAGAGUUAAUUCGGUUUGUUCCACGGUCCGGAAUCUGGAACCUACCUGCUGCUGGAGCUUUGCUUUACGUGACUGACCAUUCUGACAGUGUAAUUCCUCGGUGGACGCUCGGCGAGAAAGCCAUCGCGAGCGUUUUGACGCAACCUUGUUACGCGCGGAAUUACGCUGCGAUUAUUGCCCCAAACGAUACUUUUGCACAAGGCAAUCUAAUUCCAAAGAAUUUCUAUUGUCGCGAAUGUACAAUACGUGAACCGCAAUUUGUCGGUCUAAUAUAAAACCGAUAUCGCACAUGUCGCAUUGUAUUGUCCCUGCGAGAGUACGCAGUCGAAUUCGUUGUCCGUCUCUUUAUUAAACUCGCUGCCGCGUCUCUCGAUCCACGAUGCAUCUACGAAGACAGCUUGAAGUAGUUCAAAGAGGCCCGGUCGCGCUUAAUUACAACGAGGGGCGUUACUUCUUACUCGCAUUGACGUGCAAAAUGAUAUCACGUGGACGUAUUAUCGCGAUCGAAUGUCGCCGGAAGCCGAGACGAGCGCCAGUAUUCGGUUACGUCUGAGACUGCGGUCAGUGAGACGACUUCUGGACCAUAGCUGGAGGAGAGAGUUAAUUCUGCAGGUAAUACCUGUCGACUCCCCCCUGCUCAUUAGUAAAUCGACACGCAGCCUGUGAAGUCGUGGAACGCGCCGUUUGAAACGCGAGCAUAACGAGGGAUUGCGUUGCUUAGAGGAGAAGAUACGGUAUUUUCUUCGUCGUUGUCGUGACGGAAUAUCGCGACGGGGCCAUCCGCUUUAACCCUCCACUGGUCAGCAGAUGCAUCCGACGAGGUGGACAUGAUCCUCGUGAUAUUUAAAGUCGCGACGUGCAGUCAUCGUACUUUCCUCGGAUUGUCGCUCGGGAACAAUACGUUUUUAUACGCGGAGAACAAUGCACGUAUUUUAGUCGGUCUUUUAGCCGGAUGCUAAGUGCGGAUUCAAAAUAAUAUGUGCAGUUUGGAGAAUGCGGAUAAGAUCAAGAUAGAGAUUCAAUUAAUUAAUUCUGAUUAGUCGAGAUUAAUUAUAAUAUAUCCUUUAUUGCGAAAGUUUAAUGUUACAGCGAAGAGGGGAAGCAAGCGAGAAAAAGUGAUAAUUGAUUAAUAAAUAAAAUCGUCGUAUUUAAAAAAUAUCUCUAAAUUGAAUUUUGUUUAAUGCGUAAAAGCUUUCACGAUCAAAGUUUUAUUCGUAUCAUUUAUUUAUAGUUUAUUCGAUAUCAUUCUUGCGGUAACAAUUCAUUUUUAAAGCACGAAACAUUUCGCGAAUGCGAGUAUUCCAUUUAGAUAUACGCGUCGCAAUGAAGCAGUGUGACGCGAUAUGGAAACCUUAUAUUUUCAUUCGUUGAAACUAGUUGAAAGUAGUAAAAAUCCAUCAGAAUUAUAUGAUUAUUGUCACAUCAAAUGCAAAUGGGGCUUAUGCAUAUCCCAUUCAUCACGUCAGCGCUACGUUUCCGUUAAUUGCCGUAUUAAAGAGAAUGGCCAGCUGCCACGCGGCCAAUUUUCACGCAAUCAAAAUGUACGUUUCAAAAAUGUAAAAAAUACGCUCGUGUGCAAACCGACUCCACAAAACGGUUGGAAAGUGCAACAUUUGCAUUUAUUUUUCAUGAGCGCAACAAUAUAUCCUCUCAAUAAUUAUUGAAACGUACGAGCAUAUUUCUCCUGUGAUAAAUUCGUGACAGAUUCGUGUAAAAAUUCUUGAGAACGAUGCUAAGCGCAAUGUCCGUCUGUUAUAAAAGUCGCAAUUUCCCUUUAACAAUCGAAAUCGACGACGGCGAACGGCUUCUCUUUGAGGAAAGUCAUUUGUCCGCCGGUUAGAAAAUACCGAUACCAUGAGCACGUGACUCGCCGCGAGAAAGAGGGUCGACAAGGAGGAAAUCCCUUUCACGUAUAUAAAAUAAUUUCUUUUCGCGAGGGAAGGAAGACUCCCGGCGCGCGCGGGCGCGCUUUUCUCGAAGCGGAGAGAACGUGGAUAUUACGUGGCGUAUAUAUCUCCCAUGGAGAACGCGACGUCGAGAGUCCAGUGAAAAGUGAAGUCCCUUCGAGAAUGCGCAUGGCGAUUCUAUCACAACUGAAUCUCGAAGUACGCGCACACGUGUAUGUACGUGUCCGUCGGAUGUGUGUCCGUCGAGUAUAGACGGAUGAGACGAAAAUUCGAUUUGAACCGUCGUCAGCCUGUAUCACAUAUCCACGGAAAUGCUCGAUUUUAGUCGAAAUAAAUUUUGCCCGCGGCGAAAGGCAAGCGGACUGCCGAGCGGAGCACGUAUCUCUCGGCAACACGCGACCAUACCUCUCCUUCUCCUCAGAGCCACCCCCUGUUUUCACACAGGGGGAUGCGCAGCAUCCUCCUUCCGUGGUCCCGGCCACUCUCGCACGGACGAGGCUUCCAUCUUUUCUUCCGGCCUUUCCCGGGAAACUUUAAAGAUUCCGAGUUAUAACCGUUCGUCGACCUGGUGGAAUGCUAUCCUGAAAAUUGCAUUCCCAUGACUGGGAGCGUUCUCGCUGCUGUAAUGUAUCACUCCUGCCCUGCUUCGACUAGACCCUGGCAAGAUCACGGCUUUGCCUCUGUGCCGGUGACCGCGUGAUGCAGGCUGGAGAAACUGUUUGUGAGGGUAGUUACCGUUGACGUGGUUACGCGAUUAAAUGGCUUGACGAAAGGCACCGCAAUUGGAGGUAGCUACUUGUCAGUUUUUCACUCGCUUGCACUUUUUUGAUAAUGUUAACGGAUUGUUCUUGCAUCAUAUAAUAUUCUCUACGCCACAUUAAUGCACAUGAUCUCUUGAUAAUUAAAAAAAGAUUCUAAAUUAUUGUAAAUUGUCAAGAAUGAAUGUCAAGUGGUUUAAAUGCCUCCAUUUUCAGCUCUAUUAUCUAUGUCUUAUCUUACAGAGGAAAAAGUAUGAGAGAUAGAGAUUGAUAUCUUAUAUCUAUAAAGAAUAGGCGUCAUGUGAUCAUUUUGCAUAAGAAUCAAGAAAUUGACACCGUCUUCUUCUUCUCCAUAGCUCUCUGUUUAUAUAUUUUUAGAUAUUUUAUAUAUAUUUUUAGAUAUCUAAGAUUCUAUAUAUAUAUAAUCUUAGAUAUCUAAAAUUUUGGCCCAUCAAUCAUGAGAAUUCUCGUAAUAACGUUUGCAUUUUCAGGAUAAAAUCAGUGGAAUCUGUUAAAAUAAGACUGCAUGUUCCCGUAGUUCUCGUGGUAUCAAAUAUGGUAAUAUUUGAUCUAUACAUAUAUAUAUUUUUUUCUCUCUUAAAAUAAUCGUGGCGCAUAUUAAUGUUCAUUUGCAUCAUGUCUAUUUGCGACCACUCAAGUGUGACAUUGAUUGUCAAAAAUUAUACGUCCCUUUGGCGAAGUUUCUGCAGAUUUAGGCGUGAUGGAUGAACCCUCCAGCAGACAAGAAGUAAAAAAGAACACAUAGAGAUUAAUGUUUCAGUUCAUUUAGAUAAGGAUUUCUCUUUUCCGUAGAAGAAAAAAUAAAAUCGUUUAAACUCGUUAGAGCGAAAUGCCAGUGAAUCAAGACCUCUCUUCAGGAGAACUGACUGUUAGAAAGUAUUCCGUCGCGCGUUUCAACUUCUGGCCCAUCAAUCAUGAGAAUUCCCGUAAUAACGUUUGCGUUUUCAGGAUAAAAUCGGUCGAAUCUGUUAAAAUAGGACCGCGUGUCCGUGUAGUUUCCGUGGUAUCAAAUAUGGUAAUAUUUGAUCGCGUUGUAUGUACUCUAAAAAUCUGUAGAAAUACAAGGAAUCGAAAUAACAUUCCGAUCCGGUUUUCAUAUUGCGCGAUAGAAAAUGCCAUAAUCUUUUUAUGGCGCCGCCGAUUCCGCUGGUGCUUUCAACGAAAAAUCGCAAUUUCCACUCGUCCACCUGGUAUUCUCGGUCCCGCAUCUGCGUGCGUGUACAGGCCCGAUGUUAUUUCACACACACGGUACACGAUAUCCAAUCCCCGACCUUACAUCGAUCAGCCGUCAAAUCGUCACUAUUCACCGGGGAAUCGUCACGUUUAUGAAAAUAAACUGAUUCUCUUAUCGCCGUUCUCUGAAAUAUUUUAAGGCGCGAUUCGCAUUCCGCAAAAUUCGCCGAUAAUAAUGUCGACUCGCUUCCAACUUCUGGGUCGCGUGUACGUACAUCCCACGGGAACGUCCCACUGCAGCGUUCUCUCUGCGCGCAUUCAAUUGUGCCGGCUUGUUGAUCGAAAAAUCGCAAUUUGUAUGUGUGCCCGAUAGAUGAAAGAUACAUAACCGCGGGGCAUCUCCUGUUAUUCCAAAACAAUCUUAAUAACGUCGUGUAUAGGAAGAAACGUAACAUCGAUCAAAUUGCACGCGCGAUGAAUUAAUGAAUCCUUUAAUGAAUACGCUAAUGAGUCAGAGAACACGGAGAGAUCUCCAUUAUUCCAUUCUCAUAUUCGUUUAUCCCCCGCGAGUUAAUUUCUGUCUCCUUACGCGCUUGUUUGUUAGAUCGCGCGAUUGCUCGCGCAAAAAUUACUAUACCGUUGUACUCAGGAACAACGAUACGAAGAUUUUCCAUCCUCGCGGAAAACCCUGUCUAAUCCUGACAAACACAAAACGCAUCAGCCUCUCGAAAUCCUCUUUUCCCUCGCCGGUGUGCCGCAACAGAUACAAACGCGGUAAUCAUUCCGCAACGGCGGCAACGACGGAUUCCGGCGGUCCUUUGAACUGGGAAACCGCAAUUUCCAUCCGCGCGUCCACACGCGCUUGGUUACGAUGUGGCAGCGGUACAACGCGCCGCCAGUACCUACGCGUGCGUGCACGCGUGUACGAAUCCGACCACGUUGCAUCCGGAUGCAUCUGAAGGGACAAAAGGGACAAAGAGGACCGAUCGCGAGAGGACACUACCGAUCGCGCGGGGUGCCGGGCAAACGAACGCGGAAAAGUGAUUUUCCGCUUUUCCGGCAUUUGGCGCAAUUGCCUUUCCGGCCGCGACUCGGUCUGAAAUUGCACAUUGCCUCUCGACUAUCUCGACGUAAGCUUCUGAGGUGAUUCUUCCCGUUCUUGUACAUCUGUCUUUCUCUCUCUCUCUCUUUCUUUGUCUCUCUCUCUCUUUCUCUGUCUCUUUAUCACACUUUUGCUCUCCGCUGCUAUUCUCUUCUUUCGCGCGAAGCUUCCUGGACGGCUCACCGUAAAUUGGAUGUCUAUUAUCUCACGCGUCGUCAGGGUUCCCGUUUCUCUCAGCGUUUCUUCCCUCUUCCUUCUCUCUUUCUCUCUGUCUCUUUGACGCAAGAGUUCUCCGCGCAUUUGCAGUCUCACAGGUUCACGCUUUAUUCACUUCGCGUACUCGUUUACACGCACUUUCCCAUCCCUGUUCUUAAGCCUUUCUCCUCUCCCGCUUUGCUCUUUAUCGCCAUCGGAUUAACCGUCUGUUUCAGUUGGCCCGGCGACAAUCCUUUUGAUCACGUUCCGUGCGGCAGCGCGACGCUGUUUAAUUUCCUCGCCUCGGAAUAAAAUCCUCGGAACCUUCCCUUAUCACCCUCACAAUAUCUUUGCAUUAAACGUCACGCGUCGUUCUCUCUUUCCGUAUUGUCGCGUCGUACCAUUAUCUGCGAGAGGAAUAUCGUUACGUGCUUGCUGCACAGUUGUUUAGAUACCCGUUAUCCUGUUUGCUGGCGACGGGGACUUGGCCAGGAGACUUCUUAACGCGAAACAGCGUCUAAUACCUGUCUUAAAGCUCCGAUUCGCGCGCAAAUCCCAUUAAUAAAUCCCGCUUGUUAAUGCACUUCCUCUUCUGGAUCCCGCGCGUCCCACUUGCUCAAACAAUGUCAUGUGACGUGCACGUGUACUUUUUUUAGAGCUUUAAGUUGUUCCAAGAUUCCUCGAGCAGCAUCAAAGGGUCCCACCGUCACUCUUCUGUCCGCUCUCUUCGCUCCGUUUCGGUCUGUCUAUUUUUCUUUCGAAUUCCGCGCUUCUGCUUUUCUUCCUUGGUUCUUCUUCGCCGCCCUCCGAUGCCUCGUAGCUCUCUUUGUACAUUGUCAGACUGUUUUUUCUUUAUUACAUUUCUUUCCUAUCUCGUGGCUUCUUUCUCGAGUCUCUUACUUGCCAGCCCCUCCUUGUUUAGUUUCGUGCGCACGUGUAUGUCUACGCUCAAAGGGAGAGAAAGAAACACUGUCUGUGGAGAAUAAUCAUUUUAUGCUCGGUUACUUGCUCCGUCAUGAGUCAGUCAUUUCAUUCUCGAGUACCAAUACUUGCAUAGAUACUAAUUUUCAUUUAAUGCCUUAAGUAAAUCAUAGAGUAUCUCUGGCACUCUUGUUUCUUUUUUCCUCAGGUCAAAUAGAUUUUUCUUUCUUUCUGUAUUCAUUUCAUCUCCGGAGUUAUUGUUUUAUUAUUUCCCCCUUUCAUCUCGUCUUGUUUGCUUUUCGAUAACAAAAUAUUCAUUCUUUUUAUAUUUUGACUCUCUUCGUCUUUUCAUCUAUAAAUUACAGAUAUACUUUGGGUGUAACUUUAAUGAUGAUAAUUUAUAUAGAACGAACUGACCGUACAAGAGUCUUCUGAAGAAGAAAGAAUCGCUGAAGAAAGUUCAGAAACGUCUCUAGCUGUUCCUUGCUGACCGAUUUUGCGAUCUUCUUUCUUAGUUUCAGUAACAUAGUUUCAAUAAGAUUACUUUAUCAAGCUAUUGUAUAUUCCAUAUUUUGGAGGAAAAAACAAAACUUUCCUCGCUUAUCUAACUAUUCCUCGCAUAAAGCUGUUCGCGUAAACUGGGAUCUUUGAAUUCUUCAUGUGCAUCGCUGUCGUUUGACGCAACCGCUUCAUCCGAUUUCGCGCAUACCUGCGCACAUUGCAUUAUUCCUUUUUAUAUUAUUCCAUGUCGGGCGUUUAACAGGGACACAGUCCCGGAGCGCCUAAUAUAAAUGCGCUUCUUUCUUUCUCUCUCUCUCUUCGCCUUGACACAAGUCCCAUUUUCUCUCCCGUCCCUUUUUCAAUUUCAACCCCAUCCGCGCGCAGAGAGCUCUGUCUCCUCUCUCGCGCGCUCUCCUUCUCUCUCGUUCUUUCUCACGAGGGAGGACUUUUCCUUCUCGUCUUCACGUGGACGUGCUCGUGUAUAUAGCCGAGCGGAGACGCAUUAACUCGCAAGUGCUCUCGGAUACUAUCGCGAGGAUAACGGCCUGCUGUGUUUCUUUCCUGGCGGCGGCACCGGCUCCCGAAGAGCGUUCCGCGCAAUUUCGAGGGGACUUUAAGGGUUGGGGAGGGGGAGAG
rnacentral:lncRNA from 1 species